rnacentral:rRNA from 1 species
CGAUAGUUCACGUUUAAUUUUACUUGUUCUUGUAAAAUCAAUUUGUAUACCGCCGUCAUAAGAUUAUCUUUUUAGAGGAUAAAUUUUCUUUAUAUUUAAGUGGAUAAGAUGUCAGGUCAAGGUGCAGUUUAUGAAUAAGUGGAGAUGGAUUACAAUAAAAUUAUUUAUAUGGAUAUAUGUAUGAAAUUAUUUAUUAAAGGUGGAU